UCCUAAGGCUAAAUACUCUCUAGUGACCGAUAGUGAACCAGUACCGUGAGGGAAAGGUGAAAAGUACCCCGGAAGGGGAGUGAAAGAGAACUUGAAACCGUGUGCUUACAAGUAGUCAGAGCCCGUUUAUGGGUGAUGGCGUGCCUUUUGUAGAAUGAACCGGCGAGUUACGAUCUGAUGCAAGGUUAAGCAGCGAAUGUGGAGCCGUAGCGAAAGCGAGUCUGAAUAGGGCGUUGAGUAUUUGGUCGUAGACCCGAAACCAGGUGAUCUACCCUUGGUCAGGUUGAAGUUCAGGUAACACUGAAUGGAGGACCGAACCGACUUACGUUGAAAAGUGAGCGGAUGAACUGAGGGUAGCGGAGAAAUUC
rnacentral:rRNA from 1 species